rnacentral:rRNA from 1 species
UACGUAGGGUGCAAGCGUUGUCCGGAAUUAUUGGGCGUAAAGAGCGUGUAGGCGGCCCGAUAAGUCCGCUGUGAAAGUCCAGGGCUCAACCCUGGGAUGCCGGUGGAUACUGUCGGGCUCGAGUCCGGAAGAGGAGUGUGGAAUUCCUGGUGUAGCGGUGAAAUGCGCAGAUAUCAGGAGGAACACCAAUGGCGAAGGCAGCACUCUGGGACGUGACUGACGCUAAGGCGCGAAAGCGUGGGGAGCGAACAGG